UACGUAGGGUGCAAGCGUUGUCCGGAAUUAUUGGGCGUAAAGAGCUCGUAGGCGGUCUGUCGCGUCGGCUGUGAAAACCCGGAGCUCAACUCCGGGCCUGCAGUCGAUACGGGCAGACUGGAGUUCGGCAGGGGAGACUGGAAUUCCUGGUGUAGCGGUGAAAUGCGCAGAUAUCAGGAGGAACACCGGUGGCGAAGGCGGGUCUCUGGGCCGUAACUGACGCUGAGGCACGAAAGCGUGGGUAGCAAACAGG
rnacentral:rRNA from 1 species